rnacentral:rRNA from 1 species
UGCAUUGUGAAGGUAAAAUCGUAACAAGGUUU